AUUGAACGCUGGCGGCAUGCUUUACACAUGCAAGUCGAACGGCAGCGGGGGCUUCGGCCUGCCGGCGAGUGGCGAACGGGUGAGUAAUGCAUCGGAACGUACCCAUGUUGUGGGGGAUAACGUAGCGAAAGCUACGCUAAUACCGCAUAAGCCCUGAGGGGGAAAGCGGGGGAUUCUUCGGAACCUCGCGCAAUUGGAGCGGCCGAUGUCAGAUUAGCUAGUUGGUAGGGUAAAGGCUUACCAAGGCGACGAUCUGUAGCGGGUCUGAGAGGAUGAUCCGCCACACUGGGACUGAGACACGGCCCAGACUCCUACGGGAGGCAGCAGUGGGGAAUUUUGGACAAUGGGGGCAACCCUGAUCCAGCCAUGCCGCGUGAGUGAAGAAGGCCUUCGGGUUGUAAAGCUCUUUCAGUUGGGAAGAAACGGGUUCUCUAACAUAGGACUCUAAUGACGGUACCG
rnacentral:rRNA from 1 species